AAAGUUAUUUCACCACUUAAGAUUUCUUGUUUAUAUGGUUGUGACAGUGACUUGGACAAGGCUACAAAGUGCGAAGAGACAUAAAAACAUUGAACAGGAUACGUUAAUUUUUACAAGGACUAAGUGCUGCUACAGGUGACAAUGCCAGUUCUGAGCCCAUUAAAUGUCUACCUAUAGUUAGGAAUAUUCGAACAAUUAUGCAAUUUAAGCCCUUCAAUCAGACCGAGCAAUCCAAAUUAACUUGUUUCAGAGUCCACGUAGCGUAUACGCAAUAUCACGCACACGCCACGUUUCCCCGUCUUUAUUGAAAUGCAGCUGGAAAUAGUCAUUAUAGCUGCCAUAAGAACCUCCCGCCACUAACUCGAGGGAAUGCAACGAUUAUAUAUAUAAGUUCCCAUUCGGAUCCACCAACAACUGGAUGCCUCUGACAGUUGAGAACCGACUCCGCACCCGACUCAACCUCAGAGUCUCCGUCCGAUUCUCCAUCUCCCAGUCGAAAUGUCGGCCGUUCGAAAGUGAAAACGACCGACUUGGCCUGCACAUAUGUACUAUUUCGGUCUGAAUGAGUGCAUUAUUAUAAAGUCUAUCUGUGGGUAAACAGCUGCUGAUUUCAGGCAAUCGAUAAGCACAAAUUGGGGGCAGACACUGGCAUUGAUUCGAUCUAAGGCAAUAACACACUGAAGUGAAACUGAAAGGGAAACAACGGAUGCGGAUGCGGAAACGGAAAUGGAAACAAACACACGGAUUGUUGGGCAGGUCUCGGGUGCAAUAGAAAAACGAUAAACAAAA